rnacentral:rRNA from 1 species
AGAGUUUGAUCAUGGCUCAGAACGAACGCUGGCGGCAGGCCUAACACAUGCAAGUCGAACGUGAAGCCACCUUCGGGUGGUGGAAAGUGGCAGACGGGUGAGUAACGCGUGGGAACGUGGCUUUCGGUUCGGAAUAACCCAGGGAAACUUGGGCUAAUACCGGAUACGCCCUUCGGGGGAAAGAUUCAUCGCCGAAAGAUCGGCCCGCGUCGGAUUAGCUAGUUGGUAGGGUAAUGGCCUACCAAGGCGACGAUCCGUAGCUGGUCUGAGAGGAUGACCAGCCACACUGGGACUGAGACACGGCCCAGACUCCUACGGGAGGCAGCAGUGGGGAAUAUUGGACAAUGGGCGAAAGCCUGAUCCAGCCAUGCCGCGUGGGUGAAGAAGGCCUUAGGGUUGUAAACCCCUUUCAGCGGGGAAGAUAAUGACGGUACCCGCAGAAGAAGCCCCGGCUAACUCCGUGCCAGCAGCCGCGGUAAUACGGAGGGGGCUAGCGUUGUUCGGAAUUACUGGGCGUAAAGCGCGCGUAGGCGGACCUGCAAGUCGGGGGUGAAAGCCCGAGGCUCAACCUCGGAACUGCCUUCGAUACUGCGGGUCUCGAGUCCGGGAGAGGUGAGUGGAAUUCCUAGUGUAGAGGUGAAAUUCGUAGAUAUUAGGAAGAACACCAGUGGCGAAGGCGGCUCACUGGCCCGGUACUGACGCUGAGGCGCGAAAGCGUGGGGAGCAAACAGGAUUAGAUACCCUAGUAGUCC